AACGCGAAGAACCUUACCAGCUUUUGACAUGUCCGGUUUGAUCGGCAGAGAUGCCUUUCUUCAGUUCGGCUGGCCGGAACACAGGUGCUGCAUGGCUGUCGUCAGCUCGUGUCGUGAGAUGUUGGGUUAAGUCCCGCAACGAGCGCAACCCUCGCCCCUAGUUGCCAUCAUUCAGUUGGGAACUCUAGGGGGACUGCCGGUGAUAAGCCGCGAGGAAGGUGGGGAUGACGUCAAGUCCUCAUGGCCCUUACAGGCUGGGCUACACACGUGCUACAAUGGCGGUGACAAUGGGCAGCGAAAGGGCGACCUCGAGCUAAUCCCAAAAAGCCGUCUCAGUUCAGAUUGUACUCUGCAACUCGAGUACAUGAAGGUGGAAUCGCUAGUAAUCGUGGAUCAGCAUGCCACGGUGAAUACGUUCCCGGGUC
rnacentral:rRNA from 1 species